rnacentral:rRNA from 1 species
GACGAACGCUGGCGGCGUGCUUAACACAUGCAAGUCGAACGGAAAGGCCCUGCUUUUGUGGGGUGCUCGAGUGGCGAACGGGUGAGUAACACGUGAGUAACCUGCCCUUGACUUUGGGAUAACUUCAGGAAACUGGGGCUAAUACCGGAUAGGAGCUCCUGCUGCAUGGUGGGGGUUGGAAAGUUUCGGCGGUUGGGGAUGGACUCGCGGCUUAUCAGCUUGUUGGUGGGGUAGUGGCUUACCAAGGCUUUGACGGGUAGCCGGCCUGAGAGGGUGACCGGCCACAUUGGGACUGAGAUACGGCCCAGACUCCUACGGGAGGCAGCUGUGGGGAAUAUUGCACAAUGGGCGGAAGCCUGAUGCAGCAACGCUGCGUGCGGGAUGACGGCCUUCGGGUUGUAAACCGCUUUCGCCUGUGACGAAGCGUGAGUGACGGUAAUGGGUAAAGAAGCACCGGCUAACUACGUG